rnacentral:rRNA from 1 species
UACGUAGGGCGCAAGCGUUAUCCGGAAUUAUUGGGCGUAAAGAGCUCGUAGGCGGCCUGUCACGUCGGGUGUGAAAGCCCGGGGCUUAACCCCGGGUCUGCAUUCGAUACGGGCAGGCUAGAGUGUGGUAGGGGAGAUCGGAAUUCCUGGUGUAGCGGUGAAAUGCGCAGAUAUCAGGAGGAACACCGGUGGCGAAGGCGGUUCUCUGGGAAUGUCCUGACGCUGAGGAGCGAAAGUGUGGGGAGCGAACAGG